rnacentral:rRNA from 1 species
GACGAACGCUGGCGGCGUGCUUAACACAUGCAAGUCGAACGGAAAGGCCCUGCUUUUGUGGGGUGCUCGAGUGGCGAACGGGUGAGUAACACGUGAGUAACCUGCCCUUGACUUUGGGAUAACUUCAGGAAACUGGGGCUAAUACCGGAUAGGAGCUCCUGCUGCAUGGUGGGGGUUGGAAAGUUUCGGCGGUUGGGGAUGGACUCGCGGCUUAUCAGCUUGUUGGUGGGGUAGUGGCUUACCAAGGCUUUGACGGGUAGCCGGCCUGAGAGGGUGACCGGCCACAUGAGGACUGAGAUACGGACCAGACUCCUACGGGAGGCAGCAGUGGGGAAUAUUGCACAAUGGGCGGUAGCCUGAUGCAGCAACGCCGCGUGCGGGAUGACGGCCUUCGGGUUGUAAACCGCUUUCGCCUGUGACGAAGCGUGAGUGACGGUAAUGGGUAAAGAAGCACCGGCUAACUACGUA